ensembl:snoRNA small nucleolar RNA U3
AAGACUAUACUUUCAGGGAUCAUUUCUAUAGUUCGUUACUAGAGAAGUUUCUCUGAACGUGUAGAGCACCCGAAACCACGAGGAGGAGACGCAGUGUUCUCUCCUGAGCGUGAAGCUGGCUCUUGGCGUUGUCUUUGCAGCUGUCGCUGGUCAUUGAUGAUCGUUCUUCUUCUUUAGGGAGAGAAAGAGGGAGAGGGCGCCGUCUGAGUGGUU